rnacentral:rRNA from 1 species
UACGUAGGGGGCUAGCGUUGUCCGGAAUCAUUGGGCGUAAAGCGCGUGUAGGCGGUCCGGUAAGUCCGCUGUGAAAGUCGGGGGCUCAACCCUCGGAUGCCGGUGGAUACUGUCGGGCUUGAGUACGGAAGAGGCGAGUGGAAUUCCUGGUGUAGCGGUGAAAUGCGCAGAUAUCAGGAGGAACACCAAUUGCGAAGGCAGCUCGCUGGGACGGUACUGACGCUGAGGCGCGAAAGCGUGGGGAGCAAACAGG